ACUCUGCAGUGUCUGGCCUGGCAGGGUUCCUGGGUGGAGCUGACUGGUUGCAGGAGGAGGGACAUUCAACAGCCAUCCUGACACCACAGCCCAGGCCUUGGUUCCUUGCUUCUGUCUCCAGCAGCCAGACAAGCACCAUGGAGAGGCUGCUGUGCUCUCUGCUGGGGCUGCUGUGCACCCAGGUUUGCUGGGUGAAAGGUCAACAAGUGAAGCAGAGUCCUGUGUCCUUGGUUCUGCAGGAGGGAGAGCGUGCAGAGCUGCAGUGCAAUUUUUCCACCACUGCAAACCAAAUGCAGUGGUUUCACCAAAGUCCUGGGGGACGCCUCGUCAGCCUGUUUUCCAAUCCUUCUGCAGCAAAGCAGAGUGGACUGACAUCCAAGACAGUCAUUAAGGAGUAUCACAGCUCUCUGUACAUUUCCUCCUCCCAGAUCACAGAUUCCGGCACUUUCUUCUGUGUUGUGAGAACCCAGUGCUUCCCGGGCACCUGCAGCCAGUACACAAAUCUUCACCUGGGUGGGUGUGGCCUUUCCCAGUCACAAGACACCAGGAAGCCCCAGACUCGCUUUUGCACAAUUUAAUAUUACCUUCCUAUAGCCACUUUUAUCCACAGAUAUUUUUUUGCCUCUUGGGUUUGGAGUUUUGGUCUUUAUUUUCCCUCUUGGAAUUUUUGCUGCUUGUGCACUCCAGAUUUCUACCUAAGAGUGAGCAGAGGAACAAACAAGAGGAACUGGAGUGAAAUGAAUAUUCAAUUACAAUGCCCUGGCCCACCAGGAGGCAAACACAAACGGACUGGAAAGCAAAGAAAUGGGUUCCACUCAGCUGGGAGUCUCAACCAUGUUCAGGUCUGCCUCACAGAAGGGUCCCCAUGGAUAAGGGUCAAUCCUACUGUGUAACCAGAACUACCAGUGCAGAAGAAGUAAGCAUCACCAAAUUCUCCCAGGUGACACAUCAGUCGGGUGGGGCACUUAACAUUCAUGUCCCAUCCCAGUCCCAUCAUGCUCUUGAGCCACUGUGUGUGCCCAGGAGCUGGUCUACCCGGAGCAUGUGCUGGGCAUGGUUUAGAAAUGUGCUCAGUUGCGGCAUGGGUCUGUCAGACGCAGCUGCCUUGGGUUGUUGCUCACCCCAGCUUCUUUCCUUGUUACUCUGUUACGUUGUUACUGAAGGCAAACUGACUAUUCCUCUCUACAAUUUGAUUAAAUUUGGCCCAUAUGUCUUUGGGUUUGUUGUUAGUUGCACACAUGCUUGUAACUUUAAUAAUUUCCUAGUGAAUUUACCAUUUUUUUUUCUAGAAUUAAAAAGUCCCUCUUGUUUUUACCAACACUGUGAUUUAAAGUAUGUUCUGCACAAGGACAAAAGGCAUGACAUGACAAUGUAUCUUAAGUUACUGGGAGCAAAGGGGUCAUGAUGGGCCAGGCAGAUGGCUCAGGGCCUAAAGUGCUUGCUGUACAAACAGUAAGACCCGAAUCCAGAUCUCCAGCACUCAUGUUAAAGCUGAGCAUGGUGACACAUGCCCGUAACUGUGGCUAUGUUUUAGUUGUGCUGAAACGUGGUGAUAUUUUGUUUGUAUGUUAAUAAAUAAAGUUUGCCUGGAGAUCAGAGGACAUAGACAGCCAUAAACAAAAAUCAGGCAGUGGUAGUAUGCCCCUAAUUCGAUCACAUGGCAAGCAUAGUCUCUGUGUGCUCAAGGACAUACUAGGGAACAACCAAGUGUGGUGACACACGCCUUUAAUCCCAGUA